UACGUAGGGUGCGAGCGUUAAUCGGAAUUACUGGGCGUAAAGCGUGCGCAGGCGGUUGUGCAAGACAGAUGUGAAAUCCCCGGGCUUAACCUGGGAACUGCAUUUGUGACUGCACGGCUAGAGUGUGUCAGAGGGGGGUAGAAUUCCACGUGUAGCAGUGAAAUGCGUAGAUAUGUGGAGGAAUACCGAUGGCGAAGGCAGCCCCCUGGGAUAACACUGACGCUCAUGCACGAAAGCGUGGGGGAGCAAACAGG
rnacentral:rRNA from 1 species